rnacentral:lncRNA from 1 species
AUUUCAAUUUAGCAAAACCUUGGCCAGGGUAAUCCAUCAGAUGGAUUUGAUAUUUUGAAAUACAAUGUGGACAACCUGAUCAGAGUUGACAGUUGAACUCUGGGGUGUCCUAUGAUCAUUUUGGUCAAGGGGAUGAAUUAUAUAGAAACUAUAUCCGCAUGGGUUCUAAGGAUGUUGUUCUACACAUUCUACCUAUCCGGUCGUCGGGUACCAUUGCUAGAUGGUCACUUCGAUUGGUACAAAAAUUUAUUCCUGUGCUACCAGCUUAGGUUUGGACCUAUGAGGUCACACACAUUAGAGUUCAUGAUCCGAUCGGAUGGUUGAUCAACGAUUAAGAAUCGUUCUAGGGUUAAAUGAUCAAUACGAUUGACAUUUAACACAGUGCAAGUGUUGCAGAAGGAUCGAUUAGCAAUUCGAU